rnacentral:rRNA from 1 species
UACGGGGGGGGCAAGCGUUGUUCGGAAUUACUGGGCGUAAAGGGCUCGUAGGCGGCCAACUAAGUCGGAUGUGAAAUCCCCAGGCUCAACUUGGGAACUGCAUCCGAUACUGGAUGGCUUGAAUUCGGGAGAGGGAUGCAGAAUUCCAGGUGUAGCGGUGAAAUGCGUAGAUAUCUGGAGGAAUACCGGUGGCGAAGGCGGCAUCCUGGACCGACAUUGACGCUGAGGAGCGAAAGCUAGGGGAGCAAAAGGG